GACAGGGACCUGACAGCAGCACCAAUUAUCAGCCCAUGGCUUCACAGGCACGUCCCACUGGUAGGAGGCCCUGGGGCAGACCCAGAACGCGCUGGAAGGAUUACAUAUCUCAUCUGGCCUGGGAAUGCCUCUGGAUCCUCCAGGAGGAGUAUGUGUUAGCCUGCUAACCCUGCGACCCGGCCCCCGGAUAAGUGGAUGAAAAUGGAUGGAUGGAUGGAUGGAUGGAUGGAACCAAAGACCCACUGAUUUCAAGAUGAUGGAACAGAAGGGCAAAAAUACUACCUGGACUCGUCCCUGCACCGCUCUAUAAAGAAGUGAGCUGAACAACAGAUUAUGAAACCAAAAAUAUAUUUUAAUAUCAUCCUUCAUGCACAUGAAACUUUCCAGAACAAUCAGGAGACAAACAGCUUGAUACAUAGAAUAAUGUACAACAGAUAGAUACUGAAUAUAUACACACACAUCAAACCAGUCUGACCACUGUUAGAGUCACACUGGGACCAGUUAGACUGUGUUAUGGGAGGACUGGUGGACUACUCUUCCUUCAAAUUUCUUCUUCACUUUUUAUUCUUUAUUAAAUUUAAUCUCAAUAAAGUUAAAUUUUGAAUGCAUACUUUUACUUGUAAUGAAGUAUUUCAUGGUAGUAUUACAGGAUGACUUUUAUUCUUCACUGUCAGACGUGUCGGAGGAACAGACUUACAGACGCUCAGCUGCAGUCAAACCUCAUCACCUGUUGAAACAUGAGCAUCUGCUGCCACCUGCUGUUCACUCAGAGCAUCACAUCCUGUCGGGGGGGGGGGG